GCUGAGAGAGAGAACGAGGGACGAGAGGAGAGAGAGAGAGAGAGAGAGAGAAAAGUGGGAUUAUUGCAUAGGCUGUUUCAUCUUUUUUUCUGUAAAAUGGAGCUGGCCCUGUGGUUUUAGCAUUCGUGGGAAGUGGAGCAACCGAGGGAGUGUCGACCGCCCGACCGCCCGCCCGACCAAGCGCUACAAUCAAUGAACGCUAGAGUGCAGGCAGCCCAUCAGCUGAGAGUGCCAUCGAUGCCCUGUGGAGCGUUUCUCUAACGUGCAUCGCGCUCAGUCAACUCGACUCACUUCAACCUGCGCCUCCUUUCUACAGUAGAACCACUACCAUCCUGUCAGGGAAAGAAAGCUUCCCAAGGUUUCUCCAGAUCAGUCACUAACUCCGCUCAGCCUCGCCAGCCAGACGACCGCCAGCCAGACGACCGCCUGCCAGACGACCACCAGCCAGACAAACGAGACACGAAGCCUUUCCUUCUGCCACCAGGACAGACAGCUUUGUCCUCCGAGCCCUAGAUGCCACUCAGCAAGGUUUGAGCCCCAAUCUUACAUUCCGUUUAGUUUCUGCAUGAUCCAAGCCUUUUGCCGCUGCACUUUCAGAGCAUCAUCCCGCUUUGCCUCUCGCUGAACCCAGGAUAUCUUCUCCUCCUCAGCACAACAGCUGACUGAGCUCUGUGGCUGAGAGACUAGCAGUCCUGUCUGGUUCUGUCCUGUCCAGUCCGGUCCUGUCGUGUCUUGUCUCUCUAUAGACAUUUGAACUCAGACCUUCUUCAAGUUCCAGAACUCGGCCAGCCCAAGGUUCUGAAGUCAGGGUUCCGCUGCAAUAAACACCUUCUCUUCUGAUUGACACCUCAUCUCAGUUCCCAGCAUGCCUCACUCCUUCCAGCAGAAGCAAGCCCAGCAGAUGCUCCUCCUAUGGCAGGGAGUGAACCGGAUGAGAGAGGAGGCAGCAGGACAGUCCAUGAUGUGGAGCCACCACAGACACAGCUACCCAGGUGAACUAAAGAGUCAUAGCCUGGUCCCAGGCCCGGUUUGUGCUAUCAUGUUUGGUAUGACAAGGACAGGCAAGAAGUGACAUGAUAACACAAAAGAGAUUGGUAUCCAGGCUAAUAGAGUCCUCCUUACAGCCCUCAUUAAAACUCAGGUCCCCAAACUACAUUCAGAAAUAUGUAACUAAGACACUUCAUAUAGCGACCAGACACUAAGACACUUCAUAUAGCGACCAGACACUAAGACACUUCAUAUAGCGACCAGACACUAAGACACUUCAUAUAGCGACCAGACACUAAAGACACUUCAUAUAGCGACCAGCACACUAAGACACGUUUUAGCGACGA
rnacentral:lncRNA from 1 species